AUGUCGAAGCCGCUGCGCGGGCCCAGGAAGCGGGCGAGGAGAGGCCUGUGGUCGCCGGAGGAGGACGCUAAGCUGAGGAACUACAUUGCCAAGUACGGCCACGGCUGCUGGAGUUAUCUCCCAAGGCUAGCAGGCAUCAAAAGGUGUGGAAAGAGCUGCAGGCUGAGAUGGUUGAACUACCUGAGGCCGGACCUGAAGCGGGGCGCUCUCUCUCAGGACGAGGAGGAUGCCAUCAUUCGACUCCACUCCAUCUUAGGCAACAGGUACGUGAUGGACUGCUAG
rnacentral:rRNA from 1 species